rnacentral:lncRNA from 1 species
CGCUUUUUUUGGGAGCGCUGUCGUUUGAAUGAAUUGGAUGUUCUGGACGUUUUUGGAAAACGCUGGAUGGGAAAUGAAAUUGAAAAGGAGACCUUGGAAAUCAGUGAUAAAACACGGAAAUCAACUGCCCUUAGAUCAGGAGUCGGAAGACGAGCAGAGAGUGGGAGUAGCGAUAGUGGUGGAGGAGUGAACCCGGAGCAGGU